rnacentral:rRNA from 1 species
CCUACGGGUGGCAGCAGUGGGGAAUAUUGGACAAUGGGGGGAACCCUGAUCCAGCCAUGCCGCGUGUGUGAAGAAGGCCCUCGGGUUGUAAAGCACUUUCAGUGAGGAAGAACGCCUGGUGGUUAAUACCCAUCAGGAAAGACAUCACUCACAGAAGAAGCACCGGCUAACUCCGUGCCAGCAGCCGCGGUAAUACGGAGGGUGCGAGCGUUAAUCGGAAUUACUGGGCGUAAAGCGCGCGUAGGUGGCUUGAUAAGCCGGUUGUGAAAGCCCCGGGCUCAACCUGGGAACGGCAUCCGGAACUGUCAAGCUAGAGUGCAGGAGAGGAAGGUAGAAUUCCCGGUGUAGCGGUGAAAUGCGUAGAGAUCGGGAGGAAUACCAGUGGCGAAGGCGGCCUUAUGGACUGACACUGACACUGAGGUGCGAAAGCGUGGGUAGCAAACAGGAUUAGAUACCCUGGUAGUC